rnacentral:tRNA from 1 species
GGGCCGGUGGUCUAGCCUGGCGCAUGACGCCACCCUGACGCGGUGGAGGUCGCCGGUUCGAAUCCGGCCCGGCCCA